AUUUAUAUAGUUUAAUAAAAACAUUACUUUUUCAUAGUAAAAUUAAAUUAAUAUUUUAUAAAUU
rnacentral:tRNA from 1 species